GACGAACGCUGGCGGCGUGCUUAACACAUGCAAGUCGAACGGAAAGGCCUCUUUCGGGGGGUACUCGAGUGGCGAACGGGUGAGUAACACGUGAGUAACCUGCCCUUGACUUUGGGAUAACUUCAGGAAACUGGGGCUAAUACCGGAUAGGAGCUCCUGCUGCAUGGUGGGGGUUGGAAAGUUUCGGCGGUUGGGGAUGGACUCGCGGCUUAUCAGCUUGUUGGUGGGGUAGUGGCUUACCAAGGCUUUGACGGGUAGCCGGCCUGAGAGGGUGACCGGCCACAUUGGGACUGAGAUACGGCCCAGACUCCUACGGGAGGCAGCAGGGGGGAAUAUUGCACAAGGGGUGGAAGCCUGAUGCAGCAACGCCGUGGGCGGGAUGACGGCCUUCGGGUUGUAAACCGCUUUCGCUCAUGACGAAGCUUUGUGUGACGGUAGUGGGUAAAGAAGCACCGGCUAACUACGUG
rnacentral:rRNA from 1 species